rnacentral:rRNA from 1 species
GAUGAACGCUGGCGGCGUGCCUAAUACAUGCAAGUCGAGCGAACGGACGAGAAGCUUGCUUCUCUGAUGUUAGCGGCGGACGGGUGAGUAACACGUGGAUAACCUACCUAUAAGACUGGGAUAACUUCGGGAAACCGGAGCUAAUACCGGAUAAUAUUUUGAACCGCAUGGUUCAAAAGUGAAAGACGGUCUUGCUGUCACUUAUAGAUGGAUCCGCGCUGCAUUAGCUAGUUGGUAAGGUAACGGCUUACCAAGGCAACGAUGCAUAGCCGACCUGAGAGGGUGAUCGGCCACACUGGAACUGAGACACGGUCCAGACUCCUACGGGAGGCAGUAGUAGGGAAUCUUCCGCAAUGGGCGAAAGCCUGACGGAGCAACGCCGCGUGAGUGAUGAAGGUCUUCGGAUCGUAAAACUCUGUUAUUAGGGAAGAACAUAUGUGUAAGUAACUGUGCACAUCUUGACGGUACCUAAGCAGAAAGCCACGGCUAACUACGU